rnacentral:rRNA from 1 species
AGUGAACGCUGGCGGUAGGCCUAACACAUGCAAGUCGAACGGCAGCACAGUAAGAGCUUGCUCUUACGGGUGGCGAGUGGCGGACGGGUGAGGAAUACAUCGGAAUCUACUUUUUCGUGGGGGAUAACGUAGGGAAACUUACGCUAAUACCGCAUACGACCUACGGGUGAAAGCAGGGGAUCUUCGGACCUUGCGCGAUUGAAUGAGCCGAUGUCGGAUUAGCUAGUUGGCGGGGUAAAGGCCCACCAAGGCGACGAUCCGUAGCUGGUCUGAGAGGAUGAUCAGCCACACUGGAGCUGAGACACGGUCCAGACUCCUACGGGAGGCAGCAGUGGGGAAUAGUGGACAAUGGGCGCAAGCCUGAUCCAGCCAUACCGCGUGGGUGAAGAAGGCCUUCGGGUUGUAAAGCCCUUUUGUUGGGAAAGAAAAGCAGCAGGUUAAUACCACGCUGUUCUGACGGUACCCAAAGAAUAAGCACCGGCUAACUUCGUG